UACGAAGGUUGCAAGCGUUACUCGGAAUUACUAGGCGUAAAGGGCAGGUAGGUGGUUUGGUAAGUCUAUUGUGAAAGCUCCCGGCUUAACUGGGAGAGGCCAAUGGAUACUGCCAAGCUUGAGUAUAGGAGAGGUUACUGGAAUUCCCGGUGUAGCGGUGAAAUGCGCAGAUAUCGGGAGGAACAUCAGUGGCGAAGGCGGCCCUCUGGUCCAGUACUGACACUCAAGUGCGAAAGCGUGGGGAGCAAACAGG
rnacentral:rRNA from 1 species